rnacentral:RNase_P_RNA from 1 species
GACGGUCGCCGGCACAUUGUGCGGGAGGAAAGUCCGGACACCGAAGGGCGGGAUGGCCGAUAACGUCGGCCUGUUGCGAAACAGGGACAGUGCCACAGAGAACAGACCGCCGCACGAAAGUGCGGUAAGGGUGAAACGGCGGUGUAAGAGACCACCGCGCCUGCGGCAACGCAGGCGGCAGGGCAAACCCCAUCCGGUGCAAUGCCAAAUAGGCAGACAGUUAAGAACGGCCCGUUCUUUGUCUGCGGGUGGGCAGCUUGACCCCGUGAGCAAUUGCGGGGCUGGAUAAAUGACCGUUAGAACAGAAUCCGGC